UGGCGGACGGGUGAGUAAUGUCUGGGAAACUGCCCGAUGGAGGGGGAUAACUACUGGAAACGGUAGCUAACACCGCAUAACGUCGCAAGACCAAAGAGGGGGACCUUCGGGCCUCUUGCCAUCGGAUGUGCCCAGAUGGGAUUAGCUAGUAGGUGGGGUAACGGCUCACCUAGGCGACGAUCCCUAGCUGGUCUGAGAGGAUGACCAGCCACACUGGAACUGAGACACGGUCCAG
rnacentral:rRNA from 1 species